UACGUAGGGUCCGAGCGUUAUCCGGAUUUAUUGGGUUUAAAGGGUGCGUAGGCGGCUUAUUAAGUCAGGGGUGAAAGACGGUAGCUUACUAUCGCAGUGCCUUUGAUACUGAUGAGCUUGAAUAUACUUGAGGUAGGCGGAAUGUGACAAGUAGCGGUGAAAUGCAUAGAUAUGUCACAGAACACCGAUUGCGAAGGCAGCUUACUAAAGUAUGAUUGACGCUGAGGCACGAAAGCGUGGGGAUCAAACAGG
rnacentral:rRNA from 1 species